GAUGAACGCUGGCGGCGUACCUAAUACAUGCAAGUCGAGCGAACAGACGAGGAGCUUGCUCCUCUGACGUUAGCGGCGGACAGGUGAGUAACACGUGGAUAACCUACCUAUAAGACUGGGAUAACUUCGGGAAACCGGAGCUAAUACCGGAUAAUAUAUUGAACCGCAUGGUUCAAUAGUGAAAGACGGUUUUGCUGUCACUUAUCGAUGGAUCCGCGCCGCAUUAGCUAGUUGGUAAGGUAACGGCUUACCAAGGCAACGAUGCGUAGCCGACCUGAGAGGGUGAUCGGCCACACUGGAACUGAGACACGGUCCAGACUCCUACGGGAGGAAGCAGUAGGGAAUCUUCCGCAAUGCGCGAAAGCCUGACGGAGCAACGCCGCGUGAGUGAUGAUGGUCUUCGGAUCGUAAAACUCUGUUAUUAGGGAAGAACAAAUGUGUAAGUAACUAUGCACGUCUUGACGGUACCUAAUCAGAAAGCCACGGCUAACUACGUG
rnacentral:rRNA from 1 species